AGAGUUUGAUCAUGGCUCAGGACUAACGCUGGCGGCGUGCCUAACACAUGCAAGUCGAACGAGGUAGCAAUACCUAGUGGCAGACGGGUGAGUAACACGUAGUCAACCUACCUUUAAGUGGGGGAUAACUAGCCGAAAGGUUAGCUAAUACCGCAUGUGAUCUUCGAGUGGCAUCACUUGACGAUCAAAGCAGCAAUGCG
rnacentral:rRNA from 1 species